GAUGAACGCUGGCGGCGUGCCUAAUACAUGCAAGUCGAGCGAACAGACGAGGAGCUUGCUCCUCUGACGUUAGCGGCGGACGGGUGAGUAACACGUGGAUAACCUACCUAUAAGACUGGGAUAACUUCGGGAAACCGGAGCUAAUACCGGAUAAUAUAUUGAACCGCAUGGUUCAAUAGUGAAAGACGGUUUUGCUGUCACUUAUAGAUGGAUCCGCGCCGCAUUAGCUAGUUGGUAAGGUAACGGCUUACCAAGGCGACGAUGCGUAGCCGACCUGAGAGGGUGAUCGGCCACACUGGAACUGAGACACGGUCCAGACUCCUACGGGAGGCAGCAGUAGGGAAUCUUCCGCAAUGGGCGAAAGCCUGACGGAGCAACGCCGCGUGAGUGAUGAAGGUCUUCGGAUUGUGAAACUCUGUUAUUAGGGAAGAACAAAUGUGUAAGUAACUAUGCACGUCUUGACGGUACCUAAUCAGAAAGCCACGGCUAACUACGUG
rnacentral:rRNA from 1 species